rnacentral:lncRNA from 1 species
AAGAACAGACGAACAAUUUGCACUCUGAUGGGAAAAUAAUUAACAACGCCUGUCAGAAUCGGCGAAGAAGCAAUCUCGAAACAAAAAUCUGUCUGGUACGGAGAAAGUCGGCCUGAUCACCGAAACAGAAAUAUCGACCUGGAUACCAAAAUAAAUGGUAACGCAGGGAUAACCAUGGCCUGAACACCACAUCCGCUGGGGAUUAUUAUCUCUUUUUUUUUUCUUGAACCCCGAAAUUUUUCUUUUUUCAUUUUCAUGGUUUGAAC